GACAAACUUGAAUAAUUAUAGAUACAGCUCAAGCUCGGUGUAAAUACCCGUUAAAAACGAUAAGAACUUACAAUUGCGAUAUCGCAUACUUUGUAUUGGAUAUGUCAUUUUUUGUAUAAUUGGAUAGCUUGAAUUAACUCCCCUUUGAAGAAGUCAGUUCGAGUUGCUCCCCUUUGACCGUAGAAAACAAUCGUCUGGACCAAGAAAUCCUGUGUUAAUUUACAAGCUGUACUCGGAUAUGUGUCCAUCUGAUUUAUCUUCAAAGCAUCUUUCCAACCUGGCAAUACGCACAAAUGACACUGCAUCCCAGUGGUUCUUGCGUCAACAAUUGGGUGUCAACAAGCUAGGUCAGAUGCUGAAGGCCAUGGCAAAAGACGCCAGCUUUCUCAAGCACAAGAGAAUAACGAACCACUCAGUUCGCAAAUUCCUGAAAUGGCAUUAAUAAGUGCCAGUAUAGAUUUUGGCACAACCUACUCUGGAUGGGCUUAUUCGUUCAAGCAUGAUUACGAGAAGGAUCCAACCGAUGUUAAAGCAAAACACUGGCCUGCUCAUCAGUUUAUUUCGUCAAAAGCACCAACAAUCAUAAUUCUACGAUCGGAUGGAACAACAGUGGAGGCCUUUGGUUAUGAAGCAGAAACGAGAUACUUGCAGCUUAUAGAGACGAAUCGUCACACUGAAUAUUUCUGUUUUCAUUUUUUUAAGAUGACUUUAUAUAAUGAAAAGAAUAUUGGAAAACACACACUGAUCAAAGAUAUAGCAGGCCGAGAAAUGCGAGCUUUGGACGUUUUUGCUUCUGCCAUGAAAUGGUUAAAAGAUGAUCUUCUAUCUGCUUUGAACGAUAAAUACACAGGAGGUAUCCAUUUGACGGACAUUCAUUGGGUGAUAACAGUGCCGGCUAUAUGGUCCGAAACAGCAAAACAAUUUAUGCGAAUAGCUGCAAGAGAGGCCGGAAUUGAAAUGGGACGUUUAAACCUAGCGUUAGAACCAGAGGCGGCCUCAAUAUUUUGCCGCCAUACAAACAUGCAACGCAGCGAAACAUCAUCGUCAGUAGAUAUGUCAAAAUUUCCACCCGGGACGCGAUAUGCUGUAUGCGAUGCUGGUGGUGGAACAGUGGAUAUAACAGUCCACGAAAUAACGUCAGAUAACAGGUUAAAGGAGGUAUCAAAAGCCAGCGGAGGUGCCUUUGGUGGCUUGAAAGUGAACGAAGCUUUUGAGAUGUUAAUGGAUUCCGUAGCAGGCUGUGAUCUCAUUAAACACUUAAAGAUUGAGUAAAUGGAUGACUAUCUAGAACUGAUGAGAACGUUUGAACUGCUAAAACGGGACAAUGGACAUGACAUAUCAAAUAAUGUGACAUUUCGAAUUCCAUCAUCUGUGAAUGAGAUCGUCUGUAAGUUGACAGGUUCUUCUCUUAAGGAGGUUCUUAAGAAUUCUGUCUAUGACACACACGUUAGUGUGGUCCGAGAUAAACUAAGAUUUGCAUCCAACAUUAUUGUUGCCCUUUUUAAAGGCCCUAUAGGAAGCAUCAUCGAGCAUCUAGAGUCCAUUUUUACAAACGAAGACCACAACAUUAAUACCAUUGUCAUGGUUGGAGGGUUUUCUGAGUCCAAAUAUCUUCAGCAGCAAAUCAGACUCGCAUUUCCCGAUAAGCAAGUUAUCAUCCCUGAGGAAGCUGGCCUUGCUGUAUUGAAGGGCGCUACAAUGUUUGGGUACAACAUGAGGCAGAUUGAGACCCGUAUUUCAAGAUACACAUUUGGUCUUGCUCUGACGACGUCGUUUGAUGUACAUGCUCAUCCUAUUAAUCGGCUUGUCAUAGAAGGCCCAUUAAAGGGCAAAGUGUUUGGUCUGUUUUCAAAGCUUGUCGAAAUCGGCCAAGCUUUGGAUGCAAAUACGUGUGCAUGCACACAAACAUUUGUUCCACAAGAUGGCAUAACUUACUACGACGCUUGUCUUUAUGCUUCGACGUCAGCCAAUCCUCAGUUUAUUGACGAACCAGAAUGCUUCAAGAUAGGUUCCUUCGUUGUAAAUUGCACAGAUCAAAAUGGAGAAGUGGGUUCAACCACUUUAUGGAUGUGCUUUGGCGGAACAGAAAUUGUAGUCCUUGCAGUGCAUAAUAUCUCUGGUCUGAACACAAGUGCAGUUUUUAAUCUACCAGAGUGACAUGUAUUCUAUACCAUCAUUUGAUUUCAGAAAAAUACAAUCAAUGACAUUACGGAAUUAAUUACUUAUUUCGUGAUUCAUUCGAGUCUCUGUUUGCUUCAAUUGGAAUGUAUGUUAUAGCAUUACUAUACUUUGUAGCAUCAAUACACAUUGCUUAAAGAGUGAAUUUCUUAUGCUCCCACAAACAAAUUUUGAAAGGGAUAUAUUGGCGUCACCAUGUUGUUUUGCUGGUUGAAUGGUUGGUUAGUUUGUGAGUUUUUUGUUCACGCGAAAUAUUCGAAACGUGUAGUAGUGAGUGAAAUAUUUACAAAUGUCCGACUGGACCACAUUUUGAAGUAACUUUUUUCCAUCUAAGUACGUAUUUAUAAUUUUGUUGUAUUUACACUAAACAGUCUAUAUGUUGGUUUAUUAAACAAUACACCCAGAAGACCAAAGGCCAAAGUGGACACAGAUAGCAUACAGUGUUUACAAAGUACACAGCUAAAUAUUAUACAAAAUGUAGUUAUAAAAAGAAGUAACACGUUCAAUUGCGACGAUUCAUACAUGAUUUAUUUUUUAUUACACUAUAGUAUAUCAAUAAAUAUCGAAAUUAUA